rnacentral:rRNA from 1 species
GAAUCUUUCGCAAUGGGGGAAACCCUGACGAAGCGACGCCGCGUGCAGGAUGACGGCCUUCGGGUUGUAAACUGCUGUCAGCUGGGGAGAAAAGUCCGUCACUAACAAUGACGGAUCUUGACGGUACCAGCAGAGGAAGCCACGGCUAACUCUGUGCCAGCAGCCGCGGUAAUACAGAGGUGGCAAGCGUUGUUCGGAUUUAUUGGGCGUAAAGGGUCUGUAGGCGGUUCGGAAAGUCGGAUGUGAAAUCCCACAGCUCAACUGUGGAACUGCAUUCGAAACUCCCGGACUGGAGUGUGAGAGGGGUGAAGGGAAUUCCCGGUGUAAGGGUGAAAUCUGCAGAGAUCGGGAGGAACACCAGUCGCGAAGGCGCUUCACUGGCUCACUACUGACGCUGAGAGACGAAAGCUAGGGGAGCAAACGGG